rnacentral:rRNA from 1 species
UGAGUAACACGUAUCCAACCUGCCGUCUACUCUUGGACAGCCUUCUGAAAGGAAGAUUAAUACAAGAUGGCAUCAUGAGUCCACAUGUUCACAUGAUUAAAGGUAUUCCGGUAGACGAUGGGGAUGCGUUCCAUUGAUAGUAGGCGGGGUAACGGCCCACCUAGUCUUCGAUGGAUAGGGGUUCUGAGAGGAAGGUCCCCCACAUUGGAACUGAGACACGGUCCAA